CAAUAGCGUAUAUUAAAGUUGUUGCAGUUAAAAAGCUCGUAGUUGGACCUUGGACCUGGACAGGCGGUCCGCCUCACGGCGAGUACUGUCUUGCUGGGUCUUUCCUCUUGGUGAUCUGUUGUUUCGGCAGCAGGGAACCAGGACCUUUACUUUGAAAAAAUAAGAGUGUUCAAAGCAGGCUCGACGCCGGAAUAUAUUAGCAUGGAAUAAUAAAAUAGGACGUGCGGUUCUAUUUUGUUGGUUUUUGGAAUCGCCGUAAUGAUUAAUAGGGACAGUCGGGGGCAUUAGUACUCACAUGCUAGAGGUGAAAUUCUUGGAUUUUGUGAAGACUAACUUCUGCGAAAGCAUUUGCCAAGGAUGUUUNCAUUA
rnacentral:rRNA from 1 species